GUUACAGUGGCUUAAUGGUAUACGCGCUCGGCUUGUAACCGGAAGGUCCUGGGUUCGAAUCCCCUGUGGUG
rnacentral:tRNA from 1 species